CCAUGUAUUGUCAAAACCAUCCAUCAAAAAAGCUUAUAAAGGCACAGGUAUGGGAAACUGACCUAGCAUCUCUGGCUCAUCCAUUUCUUCCUCAAAUAGGAAGAGGCUGCUGUUCUUUGGUUGAGCACUAAGAUGAAGGAUCAUCUGGGGAGCUUAUCAACCAUACGGAUGCCUGAGUCCUAUCCCAGCCCAGCUCAAUUAGAUUCUCCAAAGAAGCUCAAUGACACCCAGGAUCCCUGGACAGCUGGACAGCGCUGGUAACUGGUGGAGGAUACAUGGUCUUUGUAACAUCUUCUUCCCUAAGAACAAGUCAUUAAGAGGUCACUAACUGAACAUGUGGCUCCUGAUACCAAAUGACUGACAUAUACCCAGGCAUGCUGAAGAGGAGCUUUACAUGCAGUUAUGUCCCGGCGAUCUGGUAUUAAGCAUAAUUCAGCUCUCCAAGGAAGAAGAUCAAUACUAAUCCUUCAUCAGCAAUUGUUCCUUCCAACAUCUGUUAAAAGAAUAAGAUCUAAUCCUGGGGUACAGAGGAAAUGGGGGAGAUGCUGAUGACAGCACAAACUUCGAGUUUAUGUUCCGAGAAUCUAACACAGAGCAUGGUGAUUAUGGUUAACAAUUUGUAUGGUACGCUCAGAAGUUGCUAUGAGCGUAGGUCUUAAAUGUUCUUGCCGUAAUAACCAAAAUGGGAAUUAACCAUCCAAAGUUGGAUGUUAACCAACUUUGCUGUGGUAAAUAUUUCACAAAACAUAUGCGUGUCAGAUUAUCAUAGCAUACAUCUUAAGCUUGCACAAUGUGUGUCAAUUCAAUCUCAAUAAAGCUGGAGGGGGAAAGACCUAAUGAUGUUGAAACCAACCUUUGUUAGAACACUUUUACCAAGCUGUAAGUUGCUAAGUUAGACUACAUACUCAUGCUUUGUGAGGACAGACAAUGGGGCUGUUCCUGAGCAAUAUUUUUAUUCCGAGCAUAACACAGUGCCAGCCCUUGACACUCUGGCUAAUCAGUGGUUCACAACUCUGGCUGCAUAUUAAUAAUCAACUGGAAGCUUUUUUAUUUUUAAAUUAAGCACUGAUGUACACAUUCUAACACGCCAUUCUAACACAACAAAUUCAACUCUGAGAUGAGGCCUGGAUGGCAUUUUUUUUUUUUUCUAAAGGCAUAGCCAGCAUUGAGAAGGACUGUGCCAUGAAUGAAUUAAAUGAGCUUCUAAAUAACAUUUCAGCUAAAGAAAAAGUUCUACUGAUUAAAAAGUUUGAAAGCCACUUAAAAAAACAAUCAAGCGAGAAGAUUUAUCAACAAAAAUGUUCACUGCAUUUUUGUUGAUAUGAAAAAUCACAAAACUUUAAGUGCAUAACAGAAUGAGAUUUAAUAAGCUGUGGCACAAAUGAAUAUUAUACAGCAAUUUAAAAUGAUGUCCAUGGGUAUCUGAAAUGGAAAGAUGUCUGUUAUAAAACUACAUGUAUCAUACUUAUAUACUUAACAAAAAUGAGAUCAUAGCCAUACACAUAGAAUCUGGAAGACAAGAAAAUUUUAAUAGUGCUCAUUACUGAGCAACAGAAUUAUGGAAAAAUUCUGUUUCUUCAUCUUUACUUUCUAAUAUUUUCUCAUAUUACACAUAUACUGAAAAAUAUAUAUUUACAAUCUAAUCUACAAUAAAAAGGCACAGAGAUUAUUCUUCCUUGUAUCUAAUGCCGUUUCUCUUUCACUGCUAUAGUUUUCCUAUGGCUAGCACUUUAGCUUCCUGCAGUAACACUAUUCAUACAGAGCCUAGAUAUUACUGGAAGGUAUUUUGUAGAUGUGAUUACCCUUCACAAUCAAUUGACUUUAAAUACAAAAGAUUAUCCUCCAUAAUGUGAGGGAGUCUCAUGUAAGGUGUUUAUGGCCUUAAGAGUAAAAACUGAGGUUUCCCAGAGAAGGAAUUCCUCCUCAAGACUGUAAGACAGAACCUGCAUGAGUUUCCAGAGUUCAGGCCUGUCCUUAUAAAUUUGAGACUCAGGACUGAAAUAUCAACUCUUAACUGAAUUUCCAACCUGUCAACCUAUUUGUCUAGAGAACCCUAAAUGAUACAUGACUAAAAAUCCCUAAAUAAUCAAAACCAAACCAUUCCCUCGUUUCCAUUUAUCCCCCUCAGUUAUCUCCGAUUCCAUUACAGGACAAAGCAGAAGGGAGAAAGGCAACUCCAUAGCCUACUACUUUCAACGACAUUUUAUGUGGCAUGGGGCUAAGAUGCUAGGUGCUGUCUUACCAUAGGUUUUUAAAGU